UAUUGCACAAUGGGCGCAAGCCUGAUGCAGCCAUGCCGCGGGUAUGAAGAAGGCCUUCGGGUUGUAAAGUACUUUCAGCGGGGAGGAAGGCGGUGAGGUUAAUAACCUCGCCGAUUGACGUUACCCGCGGAAGAAGCACCGGCGAACUCCGUGACAGCAGCCGCGGUAACACGGAGGGUGAAAGCGUUAAUCGGGAUUACUGGGCGUAAAGCGCACGCAGGCGGUCUGUUAAGUCAGAUGUGAAAUCCCCGGGCUUAACCUGGGAACUGCAUUUGAAACUGGCAGGCUUGAGUCUCGUAGAGGGGGGUAGAAUUCCAGGUGUAGCGGUGAAAUGCGUAGAGAUCUGGAGGAAUACCGGUGGCGAAGGCGGCCCCCUGGACGAAGACUGACGCUCAGGUGCGAAAGCGUGGGGAGCAAACAG
rnacentral:rRNA from 1 species